rnacentral:rRNA from 1 species
GACGGAAGGUGCAAGCGUUGCUCGGAAUCACUGGGCGUAAAGGGUGCGUAGGCGGCCGUGCAAGUCUGGCGUGAAAGCCCCGGGCUCAGCCCGGGAAGUGCGCUCGAAACUGCGCGGCUCGAGUGCCGGAGGGGAGAGUGGAAUUCCCGGUGUAGCGGUGAAAUGCGCAGAUAUCGGGAGGAACACCAAUUGCGAAGGCAGCUCGCUGGGACGUCACUGACGCUGAGACGCGAAAGCGUGGGGAGCAAACAGG